rnacentral:rRNA from 1 species
GAGUUUGAUUAUGGCUCAGGAUGAACGCUGGCGGCGUGCUUAACACAUGCAAGUCGAACGAANNNUAUAGAGACGAGUAUUUCGGUAUGAGUAACUAUAUGACUGAGUGGCGGACGGGUGNNNNCGCGUGGAUAACCUGCCUCAUACAGGGGGAUAACAGUUAGAAAUGACUGCUAAUACCGCAUAAGCGCACAGUGCUGCA